rnacentral:rRNA from 1 species
UACGAAGGGGAGCUAGCGUUGUUCGGAAUUACUGGGCGUAAAGCGUGCGCAGGCGGCUUCUCAAGUCAGGGGUGAAAGCCCAGAGCUCAACUCUGGAAUUGCCUUUGAGACUGAGUGGCUUGAGUACGAGAGAGGUGAGUGGAAUUCCCAGUGUAGAGGUGAAAUUCGUAGAUAUUGGGAAGAACACCGGUGGCGAAGGCGGCUCACUGGCUCGUAACUGACGCUCAUGCACGACAGCGUGGGGAUCAAACAGG